UUUUAUUUUAAUUAUGAAAUACAAAUAUUUCCUGUACAAGGGUAAAAACGAUGCUUCUUUUUCUGAUGAUACCAUCGUAGUUUGGCCUUAUUUGGAGACAAAUCAAAAAAAAAUUUAAUAUUAAUUUGUAAUGGAAACAUCUCUGAAGAUAAAAACUAAAUCGGAUCUUCUUAAAAGCGGGCAAAUGUGAAUUUGUGAAGAAAACGGUUCACCAAUUAACCUCCAAUCUCCUGAAUUGUAUCGUUAAGAUAAUAAUUCCAUCUCUACGUUUUAUUUUGUGACUUCAAUAACAUUUAGUUCGCAGAAUUUUAAGGAACAAUUAAAUGGUGACUAAAGACAGAAUAUAAAGAAUGAGUAAAAAAUUAUUUAAACUAAAAUGCACCUAAAAUGAAACAUUUAUAAGGAAAUAAUGAAAAAAACAUUUUACUUGAUGACAUUUCACAUGAGUCAUCUAUGAUUAACUAAAUCAACUAAAAAAAGUAGAUUCCUUUUUUUAAUUACCGACAUAAAACAACAUA